UUAAUUGGAGAGUUUGAUCCUGGCUCAGAACGAACGCUAGCGGCGUGCCUAACACAUGCAAGUCGCACGAGAAAUCCCGGGCAACUGGGAGAGUAAAGUGGCGCACGGGUGAGUAACGCGUGGGUAAUCUACCUUGAAGUUGGGAAUAACACCUCGAAAGGGGUGCUAAUUCCGAAUAAUAUCCCGGGGACCUCGGUCUCGGGGAUCAAAGAUGGCUGAGGCUUGCAAGCUAUCGCUUAAGGAUGAGCCCGCGUACCAUUAGCUAGUUGGUGGGGUAAUGGCCCACCAAGGCCAUGAUGGUUAGCUGGUCUGAGAGGAUGGCCAGCC
rnacentral:rRNA from 1 species